UGCGCGUCAAUUUAUCUUUGAGUAGGGUUGCUUACUUUAUCAUUAUCGAGUUUUAGUAUUUUGUACAAUUUUAUCGUUAUCGAAUUUUAAACAUUUUGUGUAUUUUCAGCUUUGUUCUUAUUUGGUGGUUGGAUUCGUUUGGUAAGUAGUUUCAAUUUAUUAGGAUUCAGGAAUUAAUUAUUGUUUGGUGGCACCAGAGAGGACAGCCAAGUUGAUGAUGGAUGGAUAAGACGUGGAAAGUUACCAAGUCUGAUUUUAUAGUAUAUAAAUAGGUUAUUUGUUAUUCUUAGGUUAUUGUUUUGUUUGUAGAAUUGUCAUUAGUUUAUUGUUUUGCUUGUUUCCCUUAGUCUGAGUUAUUGUUUGUUUAGACUUUGUUUCAUUUAGUGAAUUUUAGUCUUUUAGGAAUAUUUGUCUUGUUAUUUAGUGUAGUAGUUUAAGUUUAAGAUUGCAUUUGCCUGGGGUAAUUUGAGUUUUAAUAUAUGGCGCAGAGUAUUUGUUUCCUUUGUGGCUAUCGAAUUUUGACAAAUAGCGUACUUUAGGAUGUGUUCGUACUAGGUGUUUAUGUUUGGAUUAUAUUAAGUUUAUUUAUUAUACGCAGGUAGCUAAGUUGUUAUUUAAUAGGUCUUUUAUAAUUUAUAUAUUUUUAUUUUUAUUUUAUUUUAUUUGUUUAUUUAUUUUAUUUAUUUAUUCUUAUUUUUUGUGAGCAAUACGUGCGAGGGUGGGUAUCAAAGUUGCUUCCUUUUGUUUCUUGUUGAAGAUUACUGCUUUGUCAGCUUCUUUUCCUUGCUUAGACUUGUCUUGUCUUCAGUAUUAGCGUUUGAUUUAGUGUUUGGUUGUUAUGUGCUAUAUAUAUUUAUUGUUUGAUUUUUAUUUUUAUUUUUUUAUCUGAUUGUUGUUUUAUUAGUUAUAUUAUUAUUAUUAGUUAGUUAUAGUGUAAUUACUAGUUAGUUGUAUUGUAUUAUAUUAUUAGAUAUUUAGAAUUGCAUUAAUAUGUUGGGGAUGUCAAAUAGUUUACCAGUUUUUAUCGUUUAGGAGGCUUGUAGUUUGUAUUUGUGAGGAAUAUUGUAUAAUAUUGUUAUUAUUAGUUAGUUAUAGUGAAAUUAUGUUA